CUCCGCCCCGGCGGUUGCGGGAGGCGCGUUGGCUGCAAGUGGCGGAGCGCGGCGCGGGCCGGCGCUGGCGGCCUGUCCGUGUGUCCGUGUGUCCGUGUGUCCGUCAGGCGCCGCGCUCCCGAGCCGCUGUGUCGGAACUGGCUCCUCCUGGUUUGUGCCUGGGGCAAGAGGUUCAGAGACUGUUCUGACAUCACUGUGACCACAGUUUCACCAGGCUGAUGCACUGUGAGGUUAUCAUCAUCUGAAAUCUCCGCUCUUGGAAAGAGAAUCUGACCUUCCUUCUUUGAAAAAUUGUUGCAGUAAGAAAGCCCAGGCUGAAACCGAGUUAUUGACGAGAACAGUAAGAAUAUCACCUGUGAACUGGGGAUAAAUAAUAAGAAUUCUUUGUUUGAGAUGAAUAAUAGGUCAAAUAUGGUAUGUGACAGCUCUGCAGACUCCGAAGAUGUAACACGAACAAAGCUGGCAUAAGAGCACUGCUGAGGCUUUAGAAGCAUCUCGACUGUCAGGUUUCAGACCAGAGGGACAGCUCGGCUUUUCCAAUCUGACCUCCUGCCAGAGACCUGUCAGAGCUGGAGGGGCAAGAGGACGCAGCUGCCCAGAAGGGUCUGCAGCAGAAAGAGCUCGAGGAAAAGUGCAGCUGGUUCUAUGAGGGCACCUUGGUUGUUCAAAAGCCCAGAAGAUGCAAGAGGCAGUCAACUGCACAGAGUGCUGUGGGGGUCCCCCCUGAUGAUUCUUUCGUUGUCACCCAGAAACUUCAACUAUGCAGGGCAGGUGAUAGUGAAGUGGGAUACUGCCAGCAGUCCCAGCUCACACAGCUGUCUGACCACCUGAAGAUACAACCUGCAGUGAAACCAGAAGCCAAAUGGCAGCUCAGUGGCAAGUCCUGUCUCUGCAGGUCCACCUCUGCCCUCUGGAGCUGAGCUUUCUCCUCGGAGCUGGGCAGCACAUAAAGCAGUGCCUGCAAUAACCUGCGGUGACAGUGGCUCCAGGUGACUCAAGGAGACAACAGAAGCUUCACCACCCACGUUUUCAAGCCCAUCUUGGGUGGGUUAUUCAUCCCUUGCAGUGAAGAGCACUGCAGUUUGCACUGGUAUCCCACCCUGGGAAUGUGAGGGUGGUGGAGUGUAUCCAUGGAAUUUUCUCCCUUUGGAGUCUCCUGAAGCUGGUGGGCUUGUGUGGCAGGAAGGGCCCUUCCCAGCAACAAUUAAUGGGAAAUAUCUUCAAGUUCUUAAAAAAUCUAAACAGGUUAAUUUUUUUCCAAAAAGAGAAAAGAAUAAUUAAAAUUGUUUCUGCGGAUAUAUUUAAAGUACAAUCAGUAAUUCACCAAAUACAUUUAAUUCAACAGUGAAGAAUUAGGAGGCUUCAAGCUCUCCAAAAUUUUGUCUGCAAGGGAAAAUGCUUAAAUUAUUUAUUUUCCUUCCUGUGGCUUGUGCCAGGGCAGCAGCCCCACCAGCCAGCCCUGUGUCCUGCACCUGUCCCAGCGUGGGUGGAGGGCACGGAAGGUGCUGCUGGGCUGGGCUUAUGUCCUGCAGGAGCUCCAGAGGUGGGUGGAGCUUCAGCCUGCCCUGUGGCACCAGGGACCCCCUGCCCAGCCAGGGUCUGUCCCUCCCUCUGCCCUCGCUCCGGCCCAGGGGGGCAGGAGGAGGCUGCUCCCUGGGCUGGCUGGAUGCCAACAACAGCAAAGCAGCAGGAGCCGAGCCCUGGGAUGUAAUCACCCCUAGGGACCACAGCAAAGCUGGAAGGAGAAGCCAGCUGGAGUUCAUCGUCCAUAAAGAAGGGAAAGGGGGUAUGAGCUGCUGUGAAGGCUCCUUCAUCAUCUGUGGAAAUAUGCCCAAUUUUCCUGAAAAAACAAAUAGAAGGAAUUGAAACUAAAUUGCAUUAUUAGCAGAAGGGGAGUCCCUAAUUAACCAGAUACAGCCCAUUACUGUAGCCUUCAAUUCAUAAAAUUGCAUAAUUACAUAAAAAUACCAUUGAUGUGCUAUUCAGUAUAUCUGGUAUUGUCGUCCUAAUAAUUAGCUUUGUAAUUGUCAGUUUGACAGGGUAAUUAAAAAUGUUUAAAGAUGUUGUGUCAGCCUUUUCUCCUUUGCUGAGCUCAGUUGGAUGUCUCUGGAAGAUGAUUUUCUACCUGACUCGACCACGGUUUUGGUUUUGAUUUAUACCAAUGUGUUACAGGAAUGACCAGAGUCAUGGAUUACUUUGAUGUUGCUGCUAGGCUGAUUUUAAAAGUAGGAGAAAAAUAACUCCUGAUGUCAUUUUCAUU